ACUCAAGCUGGUGUCCUCAAGCUCAAGGUGUCCAGAGAAGGACUUGUGCAGGGGUACUCCCUCCUUUCUACACCUUAGGUCUGGACCAGUUGGACACCGUUCUCAUCCCAGGCUGUGUGCAGAGUAACAGGAUGCUUUCCCAUGACUUGCCAAUCCAGCCUGGGAGCCAAGCAAGAAGUCAGGUCCCAACAGAGCUCUUGGAUCCUGGAGAAGCCUGAUGAGAGAUGUCACUCCGAACCCACUGACACAGGAGUCACCCCACAGAGGAAGAGGAGUAAUAGUCCUCACGUGUAAAUGAAGUGAGACAAGGCCUGAAAAACGCUUCACAGAAAGAGAGAAAUUGAGGCCAGGAACUAAGAGUGGCUGAAAGAGCACUUUGGAGAGCAAGCGCCUGUGGGAUGCAUCAAAUGAGCUUGGGCUGCAUGUUUCAAGAAGCAGUUAUGUUUCCUGGCAUUGCUAAUGUGGAAACAAAGAAAUGAC